UGCAUAUAGAACAAGAAGUCAUGUGUGAAUGC
rnacentral:piRNA from 1 species